GGCCCGCAGCGGGAGCGGGGGCGCACGGGGCGCCGGCCCCGGGGACGACGCCGCCGCCGCAGGGACGCGCGCCCGCAGCCUCCGGCUACCCUAAACCGCAUAGCCCGGCCCUCAGCCCGAGCGGCCGGCGAGGGAUGAGCGGAUGCGGGAGAGAGAGGAGGGGACCCGGGUGCCCGGAGCUGGGCGAGUUACAGCUCGGCCCCGCAGCAUCAUGGGACUUGUAGUCCGCCUGGUGGAACCGAGCUUUUCGGAUGACCAGAGACGGUCUGGAACUGAUUUCCUGAAAGGGUGGACAGAGAGUCGGGCCCGGCCGAAAACGGAGGCCUUACUUGGAUGCCAGACAUCGCAUUGGAAAGAGAAUGUCUAACGGGGCGAAGAAGACAGUCCUUCCCCUCCAUUGCUCAGCAAGAAUCGGGAUGAGGCUGAGCAGAGACAGCAGCAGGUGGCAGCUCCCCACCUCCACCCCAUGUGGGUCCCUGCCUAAGGGAAAAGACUGAGUCCAGAUUGCCUCCUUCCUGGAUGACCAGAGCAGACGAGCCCUUCCACAGGAGCCCUUGCAGAGAGUGUGGUGAAAGUGAAAAUGGCCUCUGUGGCAGCCGACUGCAAAUGUUAAAAGAACCAAGACGCCCUGGAAGAGAAAAUGGAUCGUGAUGUCAACAGAGCUGUGUUUAAAUACCGCAUCAACUGCUUGAUCUUGAGCAAAUUGCUUACACUUCUGAGUUUCCCGGACCACUCACCUCUUAAAUGGGAUUGGAUACUACCUCCUGGGGUGAGCUAAGGAUAGCAACUGCCUGAAAACGGCGGCGUCUCUCGCUCCUUCAACCGGGCUGAGACAGGUGGUAGGAAUGAACAUGUUGCCUUCCUUGAGCCCACCUUAAACCAAAGCAGAAAUAAGGGAUUCCUCGUCAGCCCCACUCAGAACAACAAUCUAGAGAGUGUUCGUGUGGGAGGUGCCGGCAAAAGCUUGCAGACUCCUUGUGCCUCCCUGGGGUUUCUUUGUGUGGUCUUCUCCCCUGCCUCCUGCACACCCCGCGUUGCCAGGCCCGGGAGGGCUGAGGGAGGAGCAGGCUGCCUCACCCCUUUCUGCAACCUGGGAGGAGCCGGCAGGCGUCUCCACAGCCCAGGUCGGCAGCCCACCUCCACCACUAGGGGUCAGCAGAGCGUCGUGAUUGCAGCCUGAGUUGAGGAGGGGGCUAGGACAGCCAGGAGGGGACGUCUAGCAGAGGCCUCCAGAACGCUUGGACAGUAGUACCUCAUUAAAUCGUUUUCAGAA